CAGGAAGGGACCGCCCCCAACAGGUCCAGAACUGAGGUGAUGUGUGGCCGUAGCCAUCACAGGCUGUAAACAGGAUCGUGCUGGAGAACAAGAUCACAACAUCAAGGACAGUAAAGCCAUGACUGACCAAGUCUCAGCUCCAGGCUUUUUGGGCUCCGGUGUAGUACAUGGCUGCCACCUGGCUGUACAGAGUGAGGCUACGAGGAGACCUGCACUUGUUCUUCAUGAUGAUGGAAAGCAUGACAUCCUGACCGACACAUGGUCCGUCA